GCUGGCAGGAGGCUGUGGCCUCUCCCAGAGAGCACCUUCCCCUGAAAAGGUGUGGGAGCCAUGGAAUUCUUUUUCGAUUUCGGUCUUCGGAACAUGGCGCACUAGACUUGAAGAGCUGCUCCUGAAGAAGCUUCCGGACAGACCUGCCUGAGGCUACCCAGGAUGGCGAUGAAUUCCAAAGAUGAAUUUCGCUGUUAAACAUGGCCCGCUGUGUUUAAAAUGAAA